AGUGCAGCCUCUUUAUAUUUGAUGGGCGCCACUUCUUCGUACUGGGCACAUCAGACUGUCUAUGGGAGGGGGGAAAAGAUGGAGUUCUCCCAUGAUCCAUAUGUCAUAUAUAUUUCAGUAGUUUAAGAGUGGGCUCCACUUUACGUUAGAUUUGGACAGACCACAGACCUCAACGUUAUCUCUGAGCCGGUGGCAGCUUUUGUAUUCCUUAGCUUGCGUUUGUAUGGGAGUUUGGUGUUGCACAGCAGUGAAGAGUGAGGUGCACAAGGCAAGAAGCAUUGGGACAUCCAAUUUUGUUUUGUCUCCUCUUCUCUCUAAUUAUGAUCACACCGCAACCAAAAAGUCACGCCAUUCCCACCUUCUCCACUCAUUGUUCGUCUCUUUUUAAGCUUUUCUUGGUCUCAAACAACGACUAUACCUCUUUCUCUCUCUCUAGAUAUCUAUCUAUAAGUAUACUCCAUCUCUCACUCGAAUUCAAUGGCUGCGGUGUGGUUGUUGUCAUGUGGGUUUAACAAAGGGUCUCUCACAGAGGUUAUUUGGCAUUCUGUCCACCUCCAAGUACUGAUCCCUCUCUUAUACAUCCCCAAGGAGAACAACAACUCGAUGGAGGUGGGCAUCCUGCCAACUGACCUAUGUUGGCUUCUCUUUGUGAAACUCAUAUGAUAGAUCUCUUCGCCAAGUAUAAUUUCUGCAGUAAAGAAGAAGAAGAAGAAGAAGAAGAUCGAGUCCCCCACUAGGCUGGGAAGAGGAUGAGAGCUGACAACAUCAAAAGCUGUCUUUUGCAUGUAUGGUGGAGAUAAGAUACGAUGAUCUCUGUUGAAGAGAAGAGGAUAUAUUUAUAGAGUUAAUGUACUGGUAAACUAGUGUUCUCAACGGGAUGACACAUUUAUUGCUUCAUUCCAUCUCUAAGUUCAUUGUGUGGGUGGGUAUAGGAGAGAAAUAGAUAGGUGGACAUCAAAAUGGUGGAGUGCGUCAUUGCCUUCCCAUCGGGCGUCGAGCAAGAGGUAGGUUGAUAUCAUCAUUACCAUUGCACCAGCAUUGCUGUUUCUUGUGGAGUAGGGAUCUAAUGAUGGAAGGCAGAACACUUCAUGGCGUCUUGCGAUGUCAAUGUUAACAGGCUUGCUUGGGAAUCUCAAAGUCUCAGCAGACAACUUGAAGUCAGUAGGAAGGAAGAAUGCACAGUGAUGAAAGAGGCUAUAACUGGCAUUAGGGAGAAUGGACUUGCUCUAACACCAAUGUUUGGAUGUGAUCAUUACGAAUGAUCAGAUCAAGAGGAUGAAACCUUUUGUAAACAUACUGUUACCAUGUUAGGUAAAUGAUUACUUACUCCCAAAUUGCAUCUGAGUUCACAUAAUAUAUUACUGAUAUUUUGAAAAGCUCAAUUGGCUUGCUUUUGUGGAGAUCAAAAGCUUGACAGUACUGGCAUUCUCUGGAUAUAUGUAUAUUGUUCUCAAAAUUAUCUACUAUCUUCAGGUUUAAAAGACACAUUCAAAGCUUA